rnacentral:rRNA from 1 species
GAUGAACGCUGGCGGCGUGCCUAAUACAUGCAAGUCGAGCGAACAGACGAGGAGCUUGCUCCUCUGACGUUAGCGGCGGACGGGUGAGUAACACGUGGAUAACCUACCUAUAAGACUGGGAUAACUUCGGGAAACCGGAGCUAAUACCGGAUAAUCUAUUGAACCGCAUGGUUCAAUAGUGAAAGACGGUUUUGCUGUCACUUAUAGAUGGAUCCGCGCCGCAUUAGCUAGUUGGUAAGGUAACGGCUUACCAAGGCAACGAUGCGUAGCCGACGUGAGAGGGGGGUAGGCCACACGGGAAGGGAGACGCGGUCCAGGCUCCUGCGGGAGGCAGCAGUAGGCAAUCGGCCGCAAUGGGCGGAAGCCUUACGGAGCGACGCCGCGUGAGUGAUGAAGGUCUUCGGAGCGUAAAACUGUGUUAUGGGUGAAGAACAAAUGUGGACGGAACUAUGCACGGCGUGACGGUACCGAAUCAGGAAGCAACGGCUAACUACGUG